AGAGUUUGAUCCUGGCUCAGGACGAACGCUGGCGGCGUGCUUAACACAUGCAAGUCGAACGAUGAAGCUGGAGCUUGCUCCGGUGGAUUAGUGGCGAACGGGUGAGUAACACGUGAGUAAUCUGCCCUUGACUCUGGGAUAACUGCGGGAAACUGUAGCUAAUACCGGAUACGACACCUUCGGGCAUCCGAUGGGUGUGGAAAGAAUUUCGGUCAAGGAUGAACUCGCGGCCUAUCAGCUAGUUGGUGAGGUAAAGGCUCACCAAGGCGACGACGGGUAGCCGGCCUGAGAGGGUGACCGGCCACACUGGGACUGAGACACGGCCCAGACUCCUACGGGAGGCAGCAGUGGGGAAUAUUGCACAAUGGGCGAAAGCCUGAUGCAGCAACGCCGCGUGAGGGAUGAAGGCCUUCGGGUUGUAAACCUCUUUUAGUUGGGAAGAAGCGAAAGUGACGGUACCAACAGAAAAAGCACCGGCUAACUACGUGCCAGCAGCCGCGGUAAUACGUAGGGUGCAAGCGUUGUCCGGAAUUAUUGGGCGUAAAGAGCUCGUAGGCGGUUUGUCGCGUCUGCUGUGAAAAUCCGAGGCUCAACCUCGGACCUGCAGUGGGUACGGGCAAACUAGAGUGCGGUAGGGGAGAAGGGAAUUCCUGGUGUAGCGGUGGAAUGCGCAGAUAUCANGNNNAACACCGAUGGCGNNNNCACUUCUCUGGGCCGUAACUGACGCUG
rnacentral:rRNA from 1 species